CAGUCGCCGCGGUAAUACGAAGGGGGCUAGCGUUGUCCGGAAUUACUGGGCGUAAAGCGCACGUAGGCGGAUAUUUAAGUCAGGGGUGAAAUCCCAGAGCUCAACUCUGGAACUGCCUUUGAUACUGGGUAUCUUGAGUAUGGAAGAGGUGAGUGGAAUUCCGAGUGUAGAGGUGAAAUUCGUAGAUAUUCGGAGGAACACCAGUGGCGAAGGCGGCUCACUGGUCCAUCACUGACGCUGAGGUGCGAAAGCGUGGGGAGCAAACAGGAUUAGAUACCCCGGUAGUCCCUGUCUCUUAUAC
rnacentral:rRNA from 1 species